rnacentral:rRNA from 1 species
UACAGAGGUCUCAAGCGUUGUUCGGAUUUACUGGGCGUAAAGGGUGUGUAGGCGGUUGGGUAAGUCCGAAGUGAAAUCUCUAAGCUCAACUUAGAAAAUGCUUCGGAUACUAUCCGGCUAGAGGGUCGGAGAGGAGAUUGGAAUUCUCGGUGUAGCAGUGAAAUGCGUAGAUAUCGAGAGGAACAUCAGUGGCGAAGGCGGAUCUCUGGACGAAUCCUGACGCUGAGGCACGAAAGCUAGGGUAGCAAACGGG